rnacentral:lncRNA from 1 species
AAAAACAAACACUAUUAUAAGCAAAAAUAAGAAACUUAAUAUAUACCUGAACUCUGACCCAGGUAAUGUCCUUCCUAUUACGAUAAUUCUUUUUCGAUCUAAAUUUUAGUAUUGCCCUAACAAAAUAAAAACGUAUAUUGAGAUCAAUCUGACAGACAUAAUUAAAUAUACAAAUACACACGAAUAUUUAGGGGAAUUUCACUUACGCGUCAACCGUCUUCUUCAUACUCGGAUAUUUACUCCAAUCACCCGGUAACGAAUCGAGAUA